AUAGCUCAGUUGGUAGAGCAGAGGAUUGAAAAUCCUCGUGUCCCUGGUUCGAUUCCGGUU
rnacentral:tRNA from 1 species